AAACCAGCACCUCAAGUGGUCAGGAGGAUUAUUGGGCCUAAAGCAUCCGUAGCCUGUUCUAUAAGUUUCCGGUUAAAUCCAUUAGCUCAACUGAUGGGCCGCCGGAAAAACUGCAAAGCUUGGGAGUGGGAGAGGUAGACGGUACUCGGUAGGAAGGGGUAAAAUCCUUUGAUCUAUUGAUGACCACCAGUGGCGAAGGCGGUCUACCAGAACACGUUCGACGGUGAGGGAUGAAAGCUGGGGGAGCAAACCGGAUUAGAUACCCGGGUAGUCC
rnacentral:rRNA from 1 species